AAUGAACGCUGGCGGCGCGCCUAAUACAUGCAAGUCGAGCGAGAAGGACGUAGCAAUACGUUUGUAAAGCGGCGAACGGGUGAGGAAUACAUGGGUAACCUACCCUCGAGUGGGGAAUAACUAGCCGAAAGGUUAGCUAAUACCGCGUACGCUCCUUGGACUUCGGUUCAGGGAGGAAAGCGAUACCGUGGGUAUCGCGCUCUUGGAUGGGCUCAUGUCCUAUCAGCUUGUUGGUGAGGUAACGGCUCACCAAGGCUUCGACGGGUAGCUGGUCUGAGAGGACGAUCAGCCACACUGGCACUGGCGACACGGGCCAGACUCCUACGGGAGGCAGCAGUAAGGAAUAUUGCGCAAUGGGCGAAAGCCCUGACGCAGCGACGCCGCGUGGGGGAUGAAGGUCUUCGGAUUGU
rnacentral:rRNA from 1 species